rnacentral:rRNA from 1 species
GUUAUAGGAUCAAGCGACUAAGUGCAUGUGGUGGAUGCCUUGGCGAUCACAGGCGAUGAAGGACGUGCAAGCCUGCGAAAAGCGGGGGGGAGCUGGCAAUGGAGCUUUGAUCCCCCGAUGUCCGAAUGGGGAAACCCGGCCCUUUUGGGUCACCUCUGGCUGAAUACAUAGGCCAGUUGGAGCGAACCCGGCGAACUGAAACAUCUAAGUAGCCGGAGGAAAAGAAAUCAACCGAGAUUCCGCAAGUAGUGGCGAGCGAACGCGGAUGAGCCUGCACGACUAAACCAAUUACUUAGCAAAACGGUCUGGAAAGUCCGACGAUACAGGGUGAUAGUCCCGUAUGUGAAAAGUAGCUGGCGGGUCUGAGCGUGCGACAAGUAGGGCGGGACACGUGAAAUCCUGUCUGAAGAUGGGGGGACCAUCCUCCAAGGCUAAAUACUCGUGAUCGACCGAUAGUGAACCAGUACCGUGAGGGAAAGGCGAAAAGAACCCCGGGAGGGGAGUGAAAUAGAUCCUGAAACCGCAUGCAUACAAACAGUGGGAGCCUCCUUAGUGGGGUGACUGCGUACCUUUUGUAUAAUGGGUCAGCGACUUACGUUGUGUAGCGAGCUUAACCGAAUAGGGGAGGCGUAGGGAAACCGAGUCUGAUAAGGGCGCCAUAGUUGCACGAUGUAGACCCGAAACCGGAUGAUCUAUCCAUGGCCAGGAUGAAGGUGCCGUAACAGGUACUGGAGGUCCGAACCCACUAAUGUUGAAAAAUUAGGGGAUGAGCUGUGGAUAGGGGUGAAAGGCUAAACAAAUCCGGAAAUAGCUGGUUCUCCCCGAAAACUAUUUAGGUAGUGCGUCGUACGGACACUUGCGGGGGUAGAGCACUGUCAUUGUUGGGGGGGUCAUCGCGAUUUACCCCGCAAUAGCAAACUCCGAAUACCGCAAAGUGAUAUACGGCAGACAGACAGCGGGUGCUAACGUCCGUUGUCGAGAGGGAAACAACCCAGACCGCCAGCUAAGGUCCCAAAUACAUGGCUAAGUGGGAAACGAGGUGGGAAGGCCCAGACAGCUAGGAGGUUGGCUUAGAAGCAGCCACCCUUUAAAGAAAGCGUAAUAGCUCACUAGUCGAGUCGUCCUGCGCGGAAGAUGUAACGGGGCUCAAGCCAUGAACCGAAGCUGCGGAUGUGUCGUUUGACACAUGGUAGGGGAGCGUUCCGUAAGCCUGUGAAGGUGUCUCGUAAGGGAUGCUGGAGGUAUCGGAAGUGCGAAUGCUGACAUGAGUAGCGAUAAAGGGAGUGAAAAGCUCCCUCGCCGAAAGCCCAAGGUUUCCUGCGCAACGUUCAUCGGCGCAGGGUGAGUCGGCCCCUAAGGCGAGGCUGAAAAGCGUAGUCGAUGGGAAACAGGUCAAUAUUCCUGUACCGCUCUUAGAUGCGAUGGGGGGACGGAGAAGGUUAGCUCGGCCGGGUGUUGGACGUCCCGGUUUAAGCGUGUAGUCGUGCCUGGUAGGCAAAUCCGCCGGGCUUAGAUGAGGCGUGAUGACGAGGGCUCAUGGAGCCCGAAGCGAGUAAUACCCUGCUUCCAGGAAAAGCCUCUAAGCUUCAGUCUAAGAGUGACCGUACCGCAAACCGACACAGGUGGGCAGGUAGAAAAUACCCAGGCGCUUGAGAGAACUCAGGAGAAGGAACUCGGCAAAUUGAUACCGUAACUUCGGGAGAAGGUAUGCCCAUGGUAGGUGAAGGCACUUGCUGCCGGAGCUGACGUGGGCCGCAGAGAAUCGGUGGCUGCGACUGUUUAUUAAAAACACAGCACUGUGCAAAAUCGAAAGAUGACGUAUACGGUGUGACGCCUGCCCGGUGCCGGAAGGUUAAGUGAUGGGGUGCAAGCUCUUGAUCGAAGCCCCGGUAAACGGCGGCCGUAACUAUAACGGUCCUAAGGUAGCGAAAUUCCUUGUCGGGUAAGUUCCGACCUGCACGAAUGGCGUAACGAUGGCCACACUGUCUCCUCCUGAGACUCAGCGAAGUUGAAGUGUUUGUGAAGAUGCAAUCUCCCCGCGGCAAGACGGAAAGACCCCAUGAACCUUUACUGUAGCUUUGCAUUGGACUUUGACGUCACUUGUGUAGGAUAGGUGGGAGGCUUUGAAGUGGGAACGCCAGUUCUCAUGGAGCCGCCCUUGAAAUACCACCCUGGUGUCGUUGAGGUUCUAACCUUGGCCCGUGAAUCCGGGUCGGGGACCGUGCAUGGCAGGCAGUUUGACUGGGGCGGUCUCCUCCCAAAAGGUAACGGAGGAGUACGAAGGUCACCUAGGUACGGUCGGACAUCGUACUGAUAGUGCAAUGGCAAAAGGUGGCUUGACUGCGAGACCGACAAGUCGAGCAGGUGCGAAAGCAGGUCAUAGUGAUCCGGUGGUUCUGUAUGGAAGGGCCAUCGCUCAACGGAUAAAAGGUACUCUGGGGAUAACAGGCUGAUUCCGCCCAAGAGUUCACAUCGACGGCGGAGUUUGGCACCUCGAUGUCGGCUCAUCACAUCCUGGGGCUGUAGCCGGUCCCAAGGGUAUGGCUGUUCGCCAUUUAAAGUGGUACGUGAGCUGGGUUUAAAACGUCGUGAGACAGUUUGGUCCCUAUCUGCCGUGGGCGCUGGAAGUUUGAGAGGGCCUGCUCCUAGUACGAGAGGACCGGAGUGGACGCACCUCUGGUGUACCGGUUGUGACGCCAGUCGCAUCGCCGGGUAGCUAAGUGCGGAAGAGAUAACCGCUGAAAGCAUCUAAGCGGGAAACUCGCCUCAAGAUGAGACUUCCCUCAGGCCUUGAGCCUGCUGAAGGGUCGUUGAAGACCACAACGUUGAUAGGCGGGGUGUGGAAGCGCAGUAAUGCGUUAAGCUAACCCGUACUAAUUGCCCGUGAGGCUUGAUCCUAUAACC